GAUGAACGCUGGCGGUAUGCUUAACACAUGCAAGUCGAACGGACUCUUCGGAGUUAGUGGCGGACGGGUGAGUAACGCGUGAGAAUCUGGCUUUGGGUUCGGGACAACCACUGGAAACGGUGGCUAAUACCGGAUGUGCCGAGAGGUAAAAGAGAAAUUGCCUGAAGAUGAGCUCGCGUCUGAUUAGCUAGUUGGUGAGGUAAAGGCUCACCAAGGCAGCGAUCAGUAGCUGGUCUGAGAGGAUGACCAGCCACACUGGGACUGAGACACGGCCCAGACUCCUACGGGAGGCAGCAGUGGGGAAUUUUCCGCAAUGGGCGAAAGCCUGACGGAGCAAUACCGCGUGAGAGAAGAAGGCUCUUGGGUUGUAAACCUCUUUUCUUAGGGAAGAACAAAAUGACGGUACCUAAGGAAUCAGCAUCGGCUAACUCCGUG
rnacentral:rRNA from 1 species